AUUGAACGCUGGCGGCAUGCUUUACACAUGCAAGUCGAACGGCAGCGCGGGCUUCGGCCUGGCGGCGAGUGGCGAACGGGUGAGUAAUACAUCGGAACGUGCCCAGCUGUGGGGGAUAGCUCGGCGAAAGCCGGAUUAAUACCGCAUACGACCUGAGGGUGAAAGCGGGGGAUCUUCGGACCUCGCGCUCUUGGAGCGGCCGAUGGCAGAUUAGCUAGUUGGUGGGGUAAAGGCCUACCAAGGCGACGAUCUGUAGCUGGUCUGAGAGGACGACCAGCCACACUGGGACUGAGACACGGCCCAGACUCCUACGGGAGGCAGCAGUGGGGAAUUCUGGACAAUGGGCGAAAGCCUGAUCCAGCAAUGCCGCGUGUGUGAUGAAGGCCUUCGGGUUGUAAAGCACUUUUGGCGGGAACGAAAAGGACUGUGCCAAUACCACGGUUCGAUGACGGUACCCGCAGAAUAAGCACCGGCUAACUACGUG
rnacentral:rRNA from 1 species